rnacentral:rRNA from 1 species
GACGAACGCUGGCGGCGUGCUUAACACAUGCAAGUCGAACGGAAAGGCCCUGCUUUUGUGGGGUGCUCGAGUGGCGAACGGGUGAGUAACACGUGAGUAACCUGCCCUUGACUUUGGGAUAACUUCAGGAAACUGUGGCUAAUACCGGAUAGGAGCUCCUGCUGCAUGGUGUGGGUUGGAAAGUUUCGGCGGUUGGGGAUGGACUCGCGGCUUAUCAGCUUGUUGGUGGGGUAGUGGCUUACCAAGGCUUUGACGGGUAGCCGGCCUGAGAGGGUGACCGGCCACAUUGGGACUGAGAUACGGCCCAGACUCCUACGGGAGGCAGCAGUGGGGAAUAUUGCACAAUGGGCGGAAGCCUGAUGCAGCAACGCCGCGUGCGGGAUGACGGCCUUCGGGUUGUAAACCGCUUUCGCCUGUGACGAAGCGUGAGUGACGGUAAUGGGUAAAGAAGCACCGGCUAACUACGUG